rnacentral:rRNA from 1 species
UGGGGGAUAUUGCGCAAUGGGGGGAACCCUGACGCAGCAACGCCGCGUGAAGGAAGAAGGUUUUCGGAUCGUAAACUUCUUUAAGUGGGGAAGAUAGUGACGGUACCCACAGAAUAAGCCACGGCUAACUACGUGCCAGCAGCCGCGGUAAUACGUAGGUGGCAAGCGUUGUCCGGAUUUACUGGGUGUAAAGGGCGUGUAGGCGGGAUGGUAAGUCAGAUGUGAAAUACCGGGGCUCAACUCCGGGGCUGCAUUUGAAACUGCCGUUCUUGAGUGUCGGAGAGGAAAGCGGAAUUCCUAGUGUAGCGGUGAAAUGCGUAGAUAUUAGGAGGAACACCAGUGGCGAAGGCGGCUUUCUGGACGAUAACUGACGCUGAGGCGCGAAAGCGUGGGGAGCAAACAGG